GAGCGGAUGAAAGGAGCUUGCUCCUGGAUUCAGCGGCGGACGGGUGAGUAAUGCCUAGGAAUCUGCCUGGUAGUGGGGGACAACGUUUCGAAAGGAACGCUAAUACCGCAUACGUCCUACGGGAGAAAGCAGGGGACCUUCGGGCCUUGCGCUAUCAGAUGAGCCUAGGUCGGAUUAGCUAGUUGGUGAGGUAAUGGCUCACCAAGGCGACGAUCCGUAACUGGUCUGAGAGGAUGAUCAGUCACACUGGAACUGAGACACGGUCCAGACUCCUACGGGAGGCAGCAGUGGGGAAUAUUGGACAAUGGGCGAAAGCCUGAUCCAGCCAUGCCGCGUGUGUGAAGAAGGUCUUCGGAUUGUAAAGCACUUUAAGUUGGGAGGAAGGGUUGUAGAUUAAUACUCUGCAAUUUUGACGUUAC
rnacentral:rRNA from 1 species